rnacentral:rRNA from 1 species
GUACGCUGGCGGCACGCCUAACACAUGCAAGUCNAACGAAGUAGCAAUACUUAGUGGCAGACGGAUGAGUAACAUGUAGGUAUCUGCCCUUUGGCCUGGAAUAACACGAGGAAACUUGUGCUAAUACCGGAUAAGUCUUUACGGAGAAAGCUUUAUGCACCAUUGGAUGAGCCUGCACUUGAUUAGUUUGUUGGUAGGGUAAUGGCCUACCAAGACUGUGAUCAAUAGCUGAUUUGAGAGGAUGAUCAGCCACAUUGGGACUGAGACACGGCCCAAACUCCUACGGGAGGCAGCAGUGGGGAAUCUUGCACAAUGGAGGAAACUCUGAUGCAGCGAUGCCGCGUGAGUGAAGAAGGCCUUUGGGUUGUAAAGCUCUUUCGUCGGGGAAGAAAAUGACUGUACCCGAAUAAGAAGGUCCGGCUAACUUCGUGCCAGCAGCCGCGGUAAUACGAAGGGACCUAGCGUAGUUCGGAAUUACUGGGCUUAAAGAGUUCGUAGGUGGUUGAAAUAGUUGGUGGUGAAAUCCCAGAGCUUAACUCUGGAACUGCCAUCAAAACUUUUCAGCUAGAGUAUGAUAGAGGAAAGCAGAAUUUCUAGUGUAGAGGUGAAAUUCGUAGAUAUUAGAAAGAAUACCAAUUGCGAAGGCAGCUUUCUGGAUCAUUACUGACACUGAGGAACGAAAGCAUGGGUAGCGAAGAGGAUUAGAUACCCUCGUAGUCCAUGCCGUAAACGAUGUGUGUUAGACGUUGGAAAUUUAUUUUCAGUGUCGCAGGGAAACCGAUAAACACACCGCCUGGGGAGUACGACCGCAAGGUUAAAACUCAAAUGAAUUGACGGGGACCCGCGCAGUAG